rnacentral:rRNA from 1 species
AUUGAACGCUGGCGGCAGGCCUAACACAUGCAAGUCGAACGAGUGGCGGACGGGUGAGUAAUGCUUGGGAAACUGCCUGAUGGAGGGGGAUAACUACUGGAAACGGUCGCUAAUACCGCAUACCAUCAGAUGUGCCCAGGUGGGAUUAGGUUGUUGGUGGGGUAAUGGCUGACCAAGCCUAUGAUCCCUAGCUGGUCUGAGAGGAUGACCAGACACACUGGAACUGAGACACGGUCCGGACUCCUACGGGAGGCAGCAGUGGGGAAUAUUGCACAAUGGGGGCAAGCCUGAUGCAGCCAUGCCGCGUGAAUGAAGAAGGCCUUCGGGUUGUAAAGUACUUUCAGCGAGGAGGCGUUAACCGCAGAAGAAGCACCGGCUAACUCCGUGCCAGCAGCCGCGGUAAUUC